rnacentral:rRNA from 1 species
CACGUAGUUAGCCGGGGCUUCUUAGUCAGGUACCGUCUUUUUUUCGUCCCUGCUGAUAGAGCUUUACAUACCGAAAUACUUCCUCGCUCACGCGGCGUCGCUGCAUCAGGGUUCCCCCCAUUGUGCAAUAUUCCCCACUGCUGCCUCCCGUAGGAGUUUGGGCCGUGUCUCAGUCCCAAUGUGGCCGGUCGCCCUCUCAGGCCGGCUACUGAUCGUUGCCUUGGUGGGCUUUUACCCCUCCAACUAGCUAAUCAGACGCGGACUCAUCCUGCACCGAAUUUCUUUUCCUACUCCCUCAUGCGAGGCUGUAGGCUUAUGCGGUAUUAGCAGCCAUUUCUAGCUGUUGUCCCCCUGUGCAGGGCAGAUUAUCCACGUGUUACUCACCCGUCCGCCACUCAGCAGGAAGGUGCAAGCACCCUCCUGCUUCGUUCGACUUGCAUGUGUUAAGCACGCCGCCAGCGUUCAUCCUGAGCCAGGAUCAAACUCU